rnacentral:rRNA from 1 species
GGGGGAACUGAAACAUCUAAGUACCCCGAGGAAAAGAAAUCAACCGAGAUUCCCCCAGUAGCGGCGAGCGAACGGGGAGGAGCCCAGAGCCUGAAUCAGUGUGUGUGUUAGUGGAAGCGUCUGGAAAGGCGCGCGAUACAGGGUGACAGCCCCGUACACAAAAAUGCACAUAUUGUGAGCUCGAUGAGUAGGGCGGGACACGUGGUAUCCUGUCUGAAUAUGGGGGGACCAUCCUCCAAGGCUAAAUACUCCUGACUGACCGAUAGUGAACCAGUACCGUGAGGGAAAGGCGAAAAGAACCCCGGCGAGGGGAGUGAAAAAGAACCUGAAACCGUGUACGUACAAGCAGUGGGAGCCUCUUAAUGGGGUGACUGCGUACCUUUUGUAUAAUGGGUCAGCGACUUAUAUUCUGUAGCAAGGUUAACCGAAUAGGGGAGCCGAAGGGAAACCGAGUCUUAACUGGGCGUUAAGUUGCAGGGUAUAGACCCGAAACCCGGUGAUCUAGCCAUGGGCAGGUUGAAGGUUGGGUAACACUAACUGGAGGACCGAACCGACUAA